GUCUGCAUGGCUCAGUUGGUUAGAGCGCCGGUCUCAUACGUUCGUAUGAAUUUCCUUGGGAGGUGUAAUCCGGAGAUCGCCAGUUCGAUCCUGGCUGCGGACA
rnacentral:tRNA from 2 species